rnacentral:rRNA from 1 species
CAAUAGCGUAUAUUAAAGUUGUUGCAGUUAAAAGCUCGUAGUUGGAUUUCUGGGAGGGUGCUAAUGUCCGCCGUAGUGCGUGUGCAGCCGCGCCCUUCCAUCCUUCUGUUAACGUCUCUUGGCAUUUAUUUGCUGGUGGCGGGCUUAGAUAUUUUACCUUGAGAAAAUUAGAGUGUUUCAGGCAGGCUAGGCCGGAAUAUAUUAGCAUGGAAUAAUGGAAUAGGACUAUGGUCUCUUUGUUGGUUUGAGGGACUGCAGUAAUGAUUAAUAGGGAUAGUUGGGGGCGAUUAGUAUUUAAUUGUCAGAGGUGAAAUUACUUGGAUUAUUGAAAGACUAACUACUGCGAAAGCAUUUGUCCAAGGAUGUUUUCUAUUAAUCAAGAACGAAAGUUAGGGGAGUCGAAGACGAUCAGAUACCGU